rnacentral:rRNA from 1 species
GAUGAACGCUGGCGGCGUGCCUAAUACAUGCAAGUCGAGCGAAUGGAUUAAGAGCUUGCUCUUAUGAAGUUAGCGGCGGACGGGUGAGUAACACGUGGGUAACCUGCCCAUAAGACUGGGAUAACUCCGGGAAACCGGGGCUAAUACCGGAUAACAUUUUGAACCGCAUGGUUCGAAAUUGAAAGGCGGCUUCGGCUGUCACUUAUGGAUGGACCCGCGUCGCAUUAGAUAGUUGGUGAGGUAACGGCUCUCCAAGGCAACGAUGCGUAGCCGACCUGAGAGGGUGAUCGGCCACACUGGGACUGAGACACGGCCCAGACUCCUACGGGAGGCAGCAGUAGGGAAUCUUCCGCAAUGGACGAAAGUCUGACGGAGCAACGCCGCGUGAGUGAUGAAGGCUUUCGGGUCGUAAAACUCUGUUGUUAGGGAAGAACAAGUGCUAGUUGAAUAAGCUGGCACCUUGACGGUACCUAGCCAGAAAGCCACGGCUAACUACGUGCCAGCCGCCGCCGUAA